rnacentral:tRNA from 1 species
GAACGUGCGGCUUAGUUGGGCAGAGCGCUGGGUAGGUUGGAGAGAGGAGCGGGUUCAAAUCCCGCUACGUUCA